rnacentral:rRNA from 1 species
UGAGGAAUAUUGCACAAUGGGCGAAAGCCUGAUGCAGCGACGCCGCGUGGGUGAAGAAGGUCUUCGGAUCGUAAAGCCCUUUUCUGCGUGACGAGGAAGGACGGUAGCGCAGGAAUAAGUCUCGGCUAACUACGUGCCAGCAGCCGCGGUAAAACGUAGGAGACAAACGUUAUCCGGAGUUACUGGGCGUAAAGGGCGUGCAGGCGGUUUCUAAGUUCGUCGUGAAAUCGCCCGGCUUAACCGGGCGGGUCGAUGGAUACUGGGGAACUAGAGGGCGGUAGAGGCGUGUGGAAUUCCGGGUGUAGUGGUGAAAUGCGUAGAUAUCCGGAGGAACACCGAGUGGCGAAGGCGACACGCUGGGCCGUACCUGACGCUAAGACGCGACAGCAUGGGGAGCGAACG